rnacentral:rRNA from 1 species
AGAGUUUGAUCCUGGCUCAGGACGAACGCUGGCGGCGUGCUUAACACAUGCAAGUCGAACGAAGAGCGAUGGAAGCUUGCUUCUAUCAAUCUUAGUGGCGAACGGGUGAGUAACGCGUAAUCAACCUGCCCUUCAGAGGGGGACAACAGUUGGAAACGACUGCUAAUACCGCAUACGAUCCAAUCUCGGCAUCGAGACUGGAUGAAAGGUGGCCUCUAUUUAUAAGCUAUCACUGAAGGAGGGGAUUGCGUCUGAUUAGCUAGUUGGAGGGGUAACGGCCCACCAAGGCGAUGAUCAGUAGCCGGUCUGAGAGGAUGAACGGCCACAUUGGGACUGAGACACGGACCAGACUCCUACGGGAGGCAGCAGUGGGGAAUCUUCCGCAAUGGACGAAAGUCUGACGGAGCAACGCCGCGUGAGUGAUGACGGCCUUCGGGUUGUAAAGCUCUGUUAAUCGGGACGAAUGGUUCUUGUGCAAAUAGUGCGAGGAUUUGACGGUACCGGAAUAGAAAGCCACGGCUAACUACGUGCC